UAAUAUUUCUAUACACCAGAAUUUUCCAAAGUGGGGCCUAUGGAACAUGAGCUCCUUGAAAUAUUACUAGGUGUAACUCAAAAAAAGUUUCUGUGGUCAAAUUAAUCUGGAAAACACUGAGCUAACUGAAAUUACAUUUGUGGUGUGUUUUUUCCUUCUGCAGGACAUUUAAAUUAGAAUUUAUGUGCUUAUAUGCCCUAACUUUCUAACAUGGUAUGUUUCCCAAAGUCAUUGACCCUGGAGCCCUAUAUUUGGAAGAGUACCUUUAGAACUUGUGUUUUGUGGAACACCUCUUGGGGAACACUGGAUUCUAUUACUCCUGCAGUGUUCAGCUAACUAGCUCAAAAGCCUAGAUAUCAACAUUUAAUCCAGAGGCAAUUAAAUAGGCCCAGCAUGGUAUCUAAUAGUCAUGUCAUUUCUGCAGAGCUGGGUCAGGAAUGCUGCUGUGAUGAGCUAAGGCAGUUUUGGGAGAAUAUUAAGGGAAGAUCAGUCUAAUGAUGGGUCAUAAGAAGGAAGAAAAUGUCUGAGAUCAUUGGAAAAUAAAGCUUUACCCAAAGUAUGUAUUCCUGUACUUUCAAAUGAAAUGUUGCCCUUUCUAAACCUUCUGCGUUGACACAGUUGCAAGAGUUAGAUCUGGCAACAACUCAGGAAGAACAAAUCAGGAAAAUCAAGGUGUGCCUGGCAAAGGAACGAGUGAUCUUUCCCUUCGUGAAUCCCUCAUGUAUUGCCAGAUACACCGUGAUCCAGUUCAAUAGUGUAAUCAGUUUCCUAGAAUCACUUCAGAUAGGACUGAAAUACAAUCCUGUUUGCACAAAAUGUAUCUGGGUUGAAAUCAUUACAGCUGUAUGAAAUAAGGCCUGUUUUAAGUUAUCUAGAUUGCAUAUGCUCCUUUACUCUAUCAGACACUCUCUGUAAUACUCUUAUCACAUGGACAAGAUUCAAGGGGCCAGUACCUUGAUUCACAGCGAGGAAUAGAAUGUAGCCACUGGCUACCAGUAAUGUGUACACAUGGUCAGUCAGGUUAUAUUAGAACAGGACUUCAGACUUGAGUGCCUUGGGCAAGUUGGUCACAUAAAAUAAAUGCAGGUCUUGGGAACUAGCUCUGGAGUUUCCACAUAAGUAUUGUUUAUUCUUUUGAUUAGAGAAUUGAAAAUACAAUGAAUUUUUAAAAAUUUUCCUGCUCUCUCCCUCCCCUCCAAAUGCUAACCUAUUUUAAGAGUACAAAUUGCCAGGGGAGCGGCAGCAGAGCAGUGCAUUAAUGAAGACCUGGGCUUGGCAUCUUGCUGGGG